GACGAACGCUGGCGGCGUGCUUAACACAUGCAAGUCGAGCGGUAAGGGCCCUUUCGGGGGUACGACGAGCGGCGAACGGGUGAGUAACACGUGGGUGACCUGCCCUCAGCUCUGGGAGUAAGCCUGGGAAACCGGGGUCUAAUACUGGAUACGACUCCAUGACGCAUGUUGUGGGGUGGAAAGCCUUGUGCGGCUGAGGAUGGGCCCGCGGCCUAUCAGCUUGUUGGUGGGGUGGAUGGCCUACCAAGGCGACGACGGGUAGCCGGCCUGAGAGGGCGACCGGCCACACUGGGACUGAGACACGGCCCAGACUCCUACGGGA
rnacentral:rRNA from 1 species